rnacentral:rRNA from 1 species
GUUGUAUGGUUAAGUGACUAAGCGUACACGGUGGAUGCCUGGGCAGUCAGAGGCGAUGAAGGACGUACUAACUUGCGAUAAGCGCAGAUAAGGCAGUAAGAGCCGUUUGAGUCUGCGAUUUCCGAAUGGGGAAACCCAACUGCAUAAGCAGUUACUGUUAACUGAAUACAUAGGUUAACAGAGCAAACCGGGGGAACUGAAACAUCUAAGUACCCCGAGGAGAAGAAAUCAACCGAGAUUCCGGUAGUAGCGGCGAGCGAACCUGGAUUAGCCCUUAAGCACUCGGUGAAGUAGGUGAACAAGCUGGAAAGCUUGGCGAUACAGGGUGAUAGCCCCGUAACCGACGCUUCAUCGAGCGUGAAAUCGAGUAGGGCGGGACACGUGAUAUCCUGUCUGAAUAUGGGGGGACCAUCCUCCAAGGCUAAAUACUCCU